rnacentral:rRNA from 1 species
CCUACGGGAGGCAGCAGUGGGGAAUCUUGCACAAUGGGCGAAAGCCUGAUGCAGCAACGCCGCGUGCGGGAAGAAGGCCCUCGGGUUGUAAACCGCUUUCAGAAGGAACGAAACUGACGGUACUUUCAGAAGAAGGUGCGGCCAACUACGUGCCAGCAGCCGCGGUGACACGUAGGCACCAAGCGUUGUCCGGAUUUAUUGGGCGUAAAGAGCUCGUAGGCGGUUCAGUAAGUCGGGUGUGAAAACUUUGGGCUUAACCCAAGAGUG